rnacentral:rRNA from 1 species
CCUACGGGUGUCUGCAGUGAGGAAUAUUGGUCAAUGGGCGUAAGCCUGAACCAGCCAAGUCGCGUGAGGGAUGAAGGUUCUAUGGAUCGUAAACCUCUUUUAUAAGGGAAUAAAGUGUGGGACGUGUCCUGUUUUGUAUGUACCUUAUGAAUAAGGAUCGGCUAACUCCGUGCCAGCAGCCGCGGUAAUACGGAGGAUACGAGCGUUAUCCGGAUUUUUUGGGUUUAAAGGGUGCGUAGGCGGCCUUUUAAGUCAGCGGGGAAAGUCGGGGGACCAACCAUAGAAUUGCCGUUGAAACUGGGAGGCUUGAGUAUGUGUGAGGCAGGCGGAAUGCGUGGUGUAGCGGUGAAAUGCUUAGAUAUCACGCAGAACCCCGAUUGCGAAGGCAGCCUGCCAAGCCAUGACUGACGCUGAUGCACGAAAGCGUGGGGAUCAAACAGGAUUAGAUACCCUUGUAGUC